ACGCCGUUGGUGAAAUGGUUAUCAUGCUUGCCUUCCACUUAAUUGAUUAGCUAAGCUCCGCCUUACAUAAUUUCAUCGGCAGCAAGCGGCGGGGGUUCGAUUCCCCCACGGCGUA
rnacentral:tRNA from 1 species